rfam:Tupaia chinensis contig88843, whole genome shotgun sequence.
UUACUCACCUGGCAUGAGAGAUACCAUGACUGCAAAAAUUGUUUUCCCAAGGCGAGGUUUAUCCAUUGCACCCCAUACGAGCUGACCCCUGUGAUUUCCCCAAAUGUGGGAAAUGCAACUGUAUAUUUUGUGGUAGUGAGGAACUGAACUCAUAUUCUUCCUUU